GAUGAACGCUGGCGGCGUGCUUAACACAUGCAAGUCGAACGGAAAGGCUCCUGCUUGCAGGGGUACUCGAGUGGCGAACGGGUGAGUAACACGUGGGUGAUCUGCCCUGCACUUCGGGAUAAGCCUGGGAAACUGGGUCUAAUACCGGAUAGGACGAUGGUUUGGAUGCCAUUGUGGAAAGUUUUUUCGGUGUGGGAUGAGCUCGCGGCCUAUCAGCUUGUUGGUGGGGUAAUGGCCUACCAAGGCGUCGACGGGUAGCCGGCCUGAGAGGGUGUACGGCCACAUUGGGACUGAGAUACGGCCCAGACUCCUACGGGAGGCAGCAGUGGGGAAUAUUGCACAAUGGGCGCAAGCUUGAUGCAGCGACGCCGCGUGGGGGAUGACGGCCUUCGGGUUGUAAACUCCUUUCGCUAGGGACGAAGCGCAAGUGACGGUACCUGGAGAAGAAGCACCGGCUAACUACGUG
rnacentral:rRNA from 1 species